rnacentral:rRNA from 1 species
UCCGUAACGAGCGCAACCCUCGUCCUUAGUUACCAGCACGUUAUGGUGGGCACUCUAAGGAGACUGCCGGUGACAAACCGGAGGAAGGUGGGGAUGACGUCAAGUCAUCAUGGCCCUUACGGCCUGGGCUACACACGUGCUACAAUGGUCGGUACAAAGGGUUGCCAAGCCGCGAGGUGGAGCUAAUCCCAUAAAACCGAUCGUAGUCCGGAUCGCAGUCUGCAACUCGACUGCGUGAAGUCGGAAUCGCUAGUAAUCGUGAAUCAGAAUGUCACGGUGAAUACGUUCCCGGGCCUU